UUUAGGUGCACAUAUCAAUCUGUAAUUCUGCCUCAAAGCCAGCAUUGCAGGAAUGCACAACAUGUUGCAGAAGACUCUUUCACUGCCCGCUGUGCCCCACUUUCAGCCCUACUGUCAGGGCAAAGAUUGAGGAACAUAUAAAUGGACACAUAAAAAAUGCUUUGGCUUUCAAAGACAAAAUUCUAUGCCGGUGCAGGCUGCCAUGUAGGACACAAGGACACUUUCACUGCCCUGUCUGUAACAGGACAAUCGUACAGCGUGGGGUAUGACAAGGCAUUUAUUGUUAUGUCAGCAUUCUUCAAUGCCAAGUCAGCCACCACUGUCAGGACUGCUCCCUGCUGCACUGUCCGAGGAGCCCCGUCUCCGUCCCGCUGCACUCUCUGAGAGUCAGGAGCCUGCAGUUCUUCAAGAUCUGCAUACUGCUGUGCAGUGGGUUGUCCAAAAUAAGGCGCUUUUCCAUGGACACGUAACCACACCAAAGUAUCUGUCCUUAAAUAAAGAGGACCAGCAGAGGAUCUUAAGAGACAUGCUGGAGGAAGAAGACACUGAAGCAAGGGACUUCUUCCUCUUUGUGUUUCAGUGUGCGGAGGACAUGGAGCUCUUUCUAAAGGCAUGUGUUGACGAGCAGGGACUAAGGGUCAAUGCUACGUUUGAGAUAUAAUGGACGGAGGGAGGCACUGGCUGUUUGUUUUUUAAUGUGUUGUUUUUUUCAAUGUAAAUACAAAAUUAC